rnacentral:rRNA from 1 species
UACGUAGGGUGCAAGCGUUGUUCGGAAUUACUGGGCGUAAAGGGCUCGUAGGCGGCCAACUAAGUCGGACGUGAAAUCCCCAGGCUCAACCUGGGAACUGCGUCCGAUACUGGAUGGCUUGAAUCCGGGAGAGGGAUGCAGAAUUCCAGGUGUAGCGGUGAAAUGCGUAGAUAUCUGGAGGAAUACCGGUGGCGAAGGCGGCAUCCUGGACCGGCAUUGACGCUGAGGAGCGAAAGCCAGGGGAGCAAAGCAGG